GUUCUAUUAGCGACCCCUGUCGGAACGGAGGUACCUGUGAAUUCUACGAAUGUGCAUGUGCUGCGGGAUUUACCGGAUCUGUGUGUGACCGAGUUGACUGUUCGGGCAUCGACCCAUGUCUGAACGGAGGUACCUGUGAGGACAAUGCAUGUAUAUGUGCAACGGGGUAUACAGGAGCUUUGUGCGGUGACGUGUAUGACUGUUAUUUUAGGGCUCCAUGUCUGAACGGAGGUGUCUGUGAAAACGAUGCAUGUACAUGUGCUGCGGAAUUUACUGGAUCUGUGUGUGACAGAGUUGACUGUUCCGGCAGCAACCCGUGUCUAAACGGAGGUACCUGUGAGUUGGAUGCAUGUACAUGUGCUUCGGGGUAUACAGGAGCUUUGUGCGGUGAAACGAGUAAGGUCUUUUUAAGGUUUACUGGUACUACUUACACAUUUCAAUGUCUUUUCGUCUAAGAGUAUUGUACACACACAAAAAAUCUUAGUCGAUAAUCUUCGGUCACUAAAAGGAAACCAACUACAUAUUUUCACAAGGACUACGAUCCUCCUAAUUCACAUAGAUAAUUAUAUUAAAUAAGCCUUUAUUCAUGCAAGCUAUUCUUGUCUGAUCGGUGGUUGUUUACUUUUCUUUCCAUUCAUCCUUUCCAUUUAUCUUAUAUGUGAAUAAGGCUUCAUUUUCAGGUGUAAUCCAAAGAACUCGGACUCACACGACUGUGACGUUUACCGAAAGUCAUCUUCGCUUCUAAUUCACCUCUUCACAUAUUCCGUCACUGGCAGAUAGAUAAGCGAUGACCCUGCCAUCUAAAGUCCAUGCUGACGAUACUGUUGGUGUGCUGUGGGUUUUCGCGAGAAGUGUCUGGCUCUUCAUUGUCAAAUCCUCCACAAUUGAUAUUACUGAUCCGUUUAGUUUUUUCGUUUUGCUAGAGUAUGCCUUCUCUUUUUAUAGGAAUUCAAUUUCACGAUGAUAGAGCGAUGUCCGGGAGGUUUUCUGGGAGUUGCUACUGAUGGUUUCACCUUCCCUGUGCGAUGGGAGCGGUCGAUGUCUCUCAGUUCCAGAGUAACACCAAC